AAUCCACCAAUUUGUAAGUCGCUCUGGAUAAGAGCGUCUGAUAAAUGGCGUAAA
rfam:Salmo salar isolate Sally breed double haploid chromosome ssa12, whole genome shotgun sequence.